rnacentral:rRNA from 13 species
UCUAGUAGCUGGUUCCCUCCGAAAUUUCCCUCAGGAUAGCUGGAACAGUGCAGUUUUAUCGGGUAAAGCGAAUGAUUAGAGGUUCGGGAGUUGUAACAACUUUCACCUAUUCUCAAACUUUAAAUUGGUAAGAACGCAGAGUUGCUUCAUUGAACUCUGUGCCGAAUGCGUGUUCCAUGUGGGCCAUUUUUGGUAAGCAGAACUGGCGACGAGGGUUCAACCUAAGGCAGGGUUGAGGCGACCAAUUGGCAGCUAAUGAGAUGAAAAGGUGUUAGUUCAUUUAGACAGUAGGACGGUGGCCAUGGAAGUCGG